rnacentral:sRNA from 1 species
GACCUAACCCCAUAGUUCGCUAUGGGUAUGGCAUAAAAACCACUGCUGGACACUAAACCCGUCGUUUAGGAGCACCAGCAGUGGUUAUCAUCCGAAAGGGUGGUAGGUGGCGUAAGCCAUC